rnacentral:rRNA from 1 species
UGGAAUCUGAAGACCUUAAAGCCAUCCAUGCACUCAGUAGCAGCUAAGCGAACAGGGAAAAGCCCAGCACCGAAUCCCGCGGCCGAUAUCGGACGCCGGGAAAUGUGGUGUUAGGGAGGAUCCGUCUAUCCCGAGGUCGUGCGGCGCGUCCAAGUCCUUCUUGAACGGGGCCACAGCCCAUAGAGGGUGCCAGGCCCGUAGUGACCGCUGCCGAUCGCGGGAGGAUCUCUCCUCAGAGUCGGGUUGCUUGAGAGUGCAGCCCUAAGUGGGUGGUAAACUCCAUCUAAGGCUAAAUAUGACCACGAGACCGAUAGCGAACAAGUACCGUGAGGGAAAGUUGAAAAGCACUUUGAAGAGAGAGUUCAAGAGUACGUGAAACCGUUCAGGGGUAAACCUGAGAAGCCCGAAAGGUCGAAAGGGGAAAUUCAUUCGCGUUUCGGCCGUCGGCGUUGGAUGGUCGAGUGACGGAUGGCGUACGCGUCGUCCGCGCCUUCCGUUCUUCGAACCGGCGUCGAACGCGUGCACUUUUCCCCUAGUAGGACGUCGCGAUCCGUUGGGUGUCGGUCUACGGUCUGCGGUGGAGACCGUGCGGUCACUAUCACUGUGUAUCGCACGGACCCGUGGUGUCCCGGCCGACUCGCUCGACGGUAUACAGAUGGCGCGGGGCCGCUACACAGUUAGCGUUCGGCCCGCGGCAAGCGCGUUCGGCGUUUGACGGCGAUCGGACCUGGUGCCGGUGCUGUCCACGAACGACUGUUGGCUGCGGUGUUCUCGAACAGUUACACCUCGUAUGAAACGCCGAUCUGCGACGCUAUAGCUUUGGGUACUUUCAGGACCCGUCUUGAAACGCCCG